CCAAACUUGGUCAUUUAGAGGAAGUAAAAGUCGUAACAAGGUUUCCGUAGGUGAACCUGCGGAAGGAUCAUUACCGAGUUAGGGUCGCCCCCGCGCGCCCGACCUCCCAACCCUUUGUCUACCUGACCUUUAAUGUUGCUUCGGCAGGCCCGCCGCAAGGCCGCCGGGGGUCCCUCGCGACCCCGGGCCCGCGCCUGUCGAUGGCCCUCAUUCAAACGCUUGUUUAAUAAACGUGUCGUCUGAGUUUUAAACAAAAAAUUAAAUCAAAACUUUCAACAACGGAUCUCUUGGUUCUGGCAUCGAUGAAGAACGCAGC
rnacentral:misc_RNA from 1 species